GACGAACGCUGGCGGCGUGCUUAACACAUGCAAGUCGAACGGAAAGGCCCUGCUUUUGUGGGGUGCUCGAGUGGCGAACGGGUGAGUAACACGUGAGUAACCUGCCCUUGACUUUGGGAUAACUUCAGGAAACUGGGGCUAAUACCGGAUAGGAGCUCCUGCUGCAUGGUGGGGGUUGGAAAGUUUCGGCGGUUGGGGAUGGACUCGCGGCUUAUCAGCUUGUUGGUGGGGUAGUGGCUUACCAAGGCUUUGACGGGUAGCCGGCCUGAGAGGGUGACCGGCAAAAUGGGGACUGAGAUACGGCCCAGACUCCUACGGGAGGCAGCAGUGGGGAAUAUUGAAAAAUGGGCGGAAGCCUGAUGCAGCAAGGCGGGGUGCGGGAGGACGGCCUUCGGGUUGUAAACCGCUUUCGCCUGUGACGAAGCGUGGGUGACGGUAAUGGGUAAAGAAGCACCGGCUAACUACGU
rnacentral:rRNA from 1 species